rnacentral:rRNA from 1 species
UGGGCCCUACGGGGGGCAGCAGUGAGGAAUAUUGGUCAAUGGACGAGAGUCUAAACCAGCCAAGUAGCGUGAAGGAUGACUGCCCUAUGGGUUGUAAACUUCUUUUAUAAAGGAAUAAAACGAGGCACGUGUGCCUUUUUGCAUGUACUUUAUGAAUAAGGAUCGGCUAACUCCGUGCCAGCAGCCGCGGUAAUACGGGGGGUGCAAGCGUUGUCCGGAAUCAUUGGGCGUAAAGAGUUCGUAGGCGGCACGUAAAGUCUGGUGUUAAAGGCAGAGGCUCAACUUCUGUACGGCACUGGAUACUU